UUAAAUUGAAGAGUUUGAUCAUGGCUCAGAUUGAACGCUGGCGGCAGGCCUAACACAUGCAAGUCGAACGGUAACAGGAAACAGCUUGCUGUUUCGCUGACGAGUGGCGGACGGGUGAGUAAUGUCUGGGAAACUGCCUGAUGGAGGGGGAUAACUACUGGAAACGGUAGCUAAUACCGCAUAACGUCGCAAGACCAAAGAGGGGGACCUUCGGGCCUCUUGCCAUCGGAUGUGCCCAGAUGGGAUUAGCUAGUAGGUGGGGUAACGGCUCACCUAGGCGACGAUCCCUAGCUGGUCUGAGAGGAUGACCAGCCACACUGGAACUGAGACACGGUCCAGACUCCUACGGGAGGCAGCAGUGGGGAAUAUUGCACAAUGGGCGCAAGCCUGAUGCAGCCAUGCCGCGUGUAUGAAGAAGGCCUUCGGGUUGUAAAGUACUUUCAGCGGGGAGGAAGGGAGUAAA
rnacentral:rRNA from 1 species